rnacentral:rRNA from 1 species
AUUGAACGCUGGCGGCAUGCUUUACACAUGCAAGUCGAACGGUAACAGGCCUUCGGGUGCUGACGAGUGGCGAACGGGUGAGUAAUGCAUCGGAACGUACCCAGAGGUGGGGGAUAACGCAGCGAAAGCUGUGCUAAUACCGCAUGUGAUCUGAGGAUGAAAGCGGGGGACCGAGCAGCAAUGUUUGGCCUCGCGCCUUUGGAGCGGCCGAUGUCGGAUUAGCUAGUUGGUGGGGUAAAGGCCUACCAAGGCGACGAUCCGUAGCUGGUCUGAGAGGACGACCAGCCACACUGGGACUGAGACACGGCCCAGACUCCUACGGGAGGCAGCAGUGGGGAAUUUUGGACAAUGGGCGCUAGCCUGAUCCAGCAAUGCCGCGUGCGGGAAGAAGGCCUUCGGGUUGUAAACCGCUUUUGGCAGGAACGAAACGGUGUCCGCUAAUACCGGGCGCUAAUGACGGUACCUGCAGAAUAAGCACCGGCUAACUACGUG